GCUGCAGUUCCAACUCCUUGACUCUGUGUUUGUACUUCCUCUAUGGUUUCUCUUCGUCCAGCCUCGAGCAUCCCAGGCAGUGCUUUGCCUCCUGUUGCUGAGACUGUAUGAGUGAAAACCCAGAAGACCCUUGGCAACCGAGCUACUAAGAAUGGACUCACAAAGAUGGCCCUGUCUGAAAAGAACAUCCGCAAUCUUCUAGGAAUCAGUGACCUUUGAGGAUGUAGCUGUAGACUUCACUCAGGAAGAGUGGACCCUGCUGGACAGGUCCCAGAG
rnacentral:lncRNA from 1 species